rfam:Arabis alpina cultivar Pajares chromosome 7, whole genome shotgun sequence.
UGAGCUGUGAUGAGAAAGCUAACACGUAAGAAGAAUACUCCUUUGUGGGGUACUUUUUCAAUGAAAUACAUUUGUUACGCUUGGCUUCUGAGCUAA